UCGCCCUCGAAAUGAAGAAGGAGGACGGAAGCGCGAGGCGAAAAAAAACGCGGUAUGGCGCUGCAUCUGGGCAACUCUGUGAGUGGUGGAAAGCUCGUGGUGUGAGGGCUUAGUGCCCCCAGGUCUUUCCACACAGGAUUCCCUUUGUUCCUUGUUUGCUCCACUGGCUGGUCAGUAAGAAUCAUAAUCCUUGCUUGAGCCCACCCCCUACCACUAACUCCCUGGCUCCCACUAGGUCUCUGUCUCUGGACUAGGUCUUUGACACAUUAGAGUUCCUAACACAGUCCAUGAUAAGUUGAUAAGUACCCCCCCCCCCCUACACACACACACACACACACACACAUACUCACACAUACACAGGAUCACACACAAGUGCACAGUGAAUUGACCCUCACCUGACUCCUCACCAUAAUGAAACUCUGAGUAUGUCUUCUUUGUUGGUCAUUUACAGUCAUUUCAUUUUUUUCCUGUUACACACUUUGUCAGUGAGCCAUUCUGAAAACGGGUUACCUGGGGUGAAAAUAUAGUGUGAUUAUUUACACUGAAUGUGGGGUUGUUUAUGUGCAUUCUUCACUUCAUGCACAACCAAUCAUCAAUGCCUCUUGCCUUUCCCUCACAGCCAACACAGGCACAUGCAAACAGUCCGCUAUCAUAAAAACAGAGCUUUUAUGGUUCUUUGGCUAUAAAACACGUCCCCUUAUGGUAGAAAAGCUGGUUGCCACAAUGAUGAAAAUAUGACAAGGUAUAAAAAGUCUGUGGUAAAAGCUACUCAGAGAGGCAGAGACAGUGGCAGAGCAAUCGCAGCCAAGGACCAUCUAACGCACACCGUGACAGAGGAAGACAUCAACUGAGCGGAACGCACAUCAGUAUGACUGGAGGACAUCUCUCAUUGACCUGGGCGCUGCUCAGUUCAGCAAUAAUAUUCGCAUCUCUAGGAAUGCAAGGCAGCACAGGAAGCACCGCAGAAUGGAAUGCCGGAGUCCAAUCACCGGCGGCAGAGGGGUCGACCUCCCAGACCCCAACCACUUCAGAGGCCUCUUCUGCUGACUCGUUCUCCCCCGGUCAGCUCGACACAUCCAGCCUGCCGCCCACCACCUCCAACCAGACCGCCGAACGGGGCCAGCAGGGGCUGUCCCCUGGGGAGGCUGCGGGGGUGGCCAUCGGCACCAUCGCUGGAGUAGCAGCAGCGGGUGGAGGGAUCUUUGCUGCUUUGAAGUUCAGUGGGAGACUGGGGGGCUAAUGCCAAGGACCAGCAGGGGAGGGGAGGGGGGCACCCAGCCUCACAGCCAGGUUCUGCCAGCCCCACCACCAGGGUGUACGAAGCCAGGAUCUCAGUGUCUCCCUCUGUAUUGGGACUCAAAGUAGAAUGUCCUUUGUUCAAGUGAAGAGAAAUUUAUGAACUAAUAAAUUCAGAUUCCCCCCCCCCAUUUAUAUUAUUCCUUGUAUCUAAUUACUGAUAUUACUUUUUUUGAACCAAAGUGCACGUGACAAGGGAUGUUGUCUUCCCUGUAUCCUAUGGAGAAGAUUGCAGUGGAACAGUUUCUGGGUCACAGGACACAGUGUUCUUUCUCAUUCACGUAGAGUUGUUUUGCCAUAAUGCGUAUCUAACCAAAUGGAACUCUUAAAGCAGAUCAUUAAAAAGGUUGCAGGAAUCUUUCACUCCAGAUUCCCCCAUUUUCAUUGGACGAAAUGAGCAUUAUAUUAGAAGAGCCCUUUCCAAGGGGACUGAGAAUAAAUAAUUCAGUAGUCCAUAGUACGAUGUAAUGAUUGUAUCUGUUGAUAAGCCGUUACUCACAUAAGCCUUUUAAAUCUUAUCUCAUGACCUUAUUGGAGUUAGUAAGCAGUAGUAACUGAUACUAGUAUCCCAGAGACUAUUGCGUAAUUAAACAGAGAUAGAAAAGUUGACUUUUUUUUUUACUGCUGAUACUGCUAUCGUUACUGAUUUUCAAGAAUGUAUUUGUUUAGUCCUUUCCAUGAAUAAUAUCAUAUGUGCCAGUGAUAAAUUUGUAAUAAAAAUAAUU